rnacentral:rRNA from 1 species
UGAGGAAUAUUGGUCAAUGGCCGGAAGGCUGAACCAGCCAUCCCGCGUGCAGGAUGACGGCCCUAUGGGUUGUAAACUGCUUUUGUACCUGAAGAAACCUGUUUACGAGUAGACAGUUGCCAGUAAGGUAUGAAUAAGCAUCGGCUAACUCCGUGCCAGCAGCCGCGGUAAUACGGAGGAUGCAAGCGUUAUCCGGAUUCAUUGGGUUUAAAGGGUGCGCAGGUGGGAAAAUAAGUCAGUGGUGAAAUACUGCCGCUUAACGGUAGAAUUGCCAUUGAUACUGUUUUUCUUGAGUAUGGUUGAGGUAGGUGGAAUGUGUUGUGUAGCGGUGAAAUGCAUAGAUAUGACACAGAACGCCAAUUGCGAAGGCAGCUUACUAAGCCAUUACUGACGCUGAGGCACGAAAGCGUGGGGAUCAAACAGG